AGGGGAAUGUCGUCCGGUGGCGGCCCCGGUCUUCAAAAUCGGUGAGGGGGCGUUAGGCGUUUCCUGGCGGGUUCGACUCCCACUCUCCUCC
rnacentral:tRNA from 1 species